AUAUGUGAAUUUAUAGUUAAAAGUGCAAGAAGGUCUAACAUCUAGCCGAAAUCCUUCAUUUCAAAAUGAAGGACUAAAUGUGACCAAAGAGCCCUUAAUAGGUAAACAAUGUAAACGACCCUUAGAGGUUGCCUAGAAACUUAUAUUAUGAGUUUGAAACCCUUAGAUGUGUAUAAAAGUUCUAGGCAAAAACAAUUGCGGGUCGAACGCCUAGAAAUAGUUAAUUGCGGAAAAAUGACCAACCGAUAGGUAAAAUUGGGAAAAAGGGGUUCAUAUGUUAAAUCCACCACAAAAAAGUUGUGGUGGAAUAUUUCUAGUUAAUUAGACAUGGAAAAUAUUGUAGUAUCAAAAGAAAAGCACAAGUUCUAGACCAAAAUGCGUAAAUACCCUUAACGGGUCGAAAUAGAAGUAUUAGCGAAACGAGUUAAGAAUGUGUAAUAACCCGUGAUUUGAACCUUGUACAAUAGGAAAUAAUCAUAAUAUUAUGUUUACGAAAGAAACAAGGGCCACAAUCAAGUUUGUUAGAUGAAUUCAUGAACGGGUCAAAAUUUGGGUAAAAAUGGUAAUAAGCCGAAGACUUAAAAGUCUUAAAUUUUUGUUAAUCCGGAUGUCGGAUUUUAACUCCAUAUGAUGGAGAAUUAAAUUAAGGACGCGUAGGAAAAAGAAUCGUAUAAAACGGAUUAAAAACGAGAGAGUUAUGUCCGUUUCGGUAAGAACUAAUGAAAAAUAGACGUGCAGAGUUGACACGGGCGGGUGACUUUUUGACACGGCCGGGUGGCUGGGCUGUGAAAAAUAUAUGUUAGCUGACACGGCCGGGUGACUUUUUGACACGGCCGGGUGAAGGGGCUGAAAACAAAACAAAAAUAAUUUCUUGUUUUGUUACGUUAAGUACGGAACUUGUUUAUACUCGAUUAUUAAAGUGUCAAAACUAAUUAUUUACAUGGUUUUGACCGUAGGUGAAGAUGGGAUAAGCGGUUUGAAAGAUACGAAAGUUUUCGUGCAAAUAAACGGCAAAAUAGGAAAGCUGGAAUGCAGGGGCCACCGUAACUUACGGUGCCACCGUAAGUUACGGUGGAGCUGAAGGCUUUACGGCAGCCCCCUACUGAUUUACGGUUCUUUUUGGAUGCCGGAAGACGAUCAAGCUCGUCGAAGGACCGAACACGAUAAAGAUACAUGCUUCCGCACAUUUCCUCGUCGUAAAUUUUUAAACGACAAACUCGAUCACUUAUGUUGAAUAACUUAUGAUUUGUAAAAGUUUUAAUAAACUCGUAUUUUCAUAGUAUGUGUAAACUUAAUUACACAUCUAA